UACCAGACUUGCAGUCCUUCUCCACAGCUGUGUUCUUUGCCGAUCGCAGAUUGCAGUCCUUUGUGAUUCCAGGAUAAAUCCAUUUUGCUGGUAAAAUAACUGGCUGUUUCCUUGUUUUAGGUUAGCAACCCCCUCCCAAGGCCAAGGCCACACCUGCUUCAAAGCAGGCUUGAAGAGCAGACUGGAAGCCUCCUAUGACGGAAGCUAGGUUCUUUGGGACUCAGUGACCUCUGUGCUGAGUGGAUACUCCUUCAGAAAGGCUUUUCCUUUGUUCUUCCAGAGACCCAGCGCCUCGUCUGUUUCCCUACGUGUGGCUCUAGGUGGCCUGAAAAAAGCAAGUUAUCCUGACGGCAUCUUCAGCUGCACGACUUGCUGACCAGCCCCGUGCUCGGCCUGAGAGAGGGAACCUUAGUAGAGGAUGUACCGGGGCCAGAGCCGGAGAAGGACGUUUUGGACCCAUGGGCGCGCCUGUUCACAGACGCAGAGGCUCGGAGAGCCUGCGUGUCCAGGACGACGCGUAUCAGGAGAGGGGGUCCCUGGCUGUGUUCCCGCUCUGUCCUCCCUAUAGCUCCCCGCACACCCGGAUGUGGCCCCGUGGAGCCGGCCCCCGGGGGCCCGGCAGCUCUCAGAGCGUCUGAGAUGCUGGUCUCCCUGGAAGGCUGCUUCCUCUGCUCAAAGUGGCCCUCCGUUUCUCACUUUUCUGUUUCGAAGGCUGCAUACGAGUGUACCUUCGGCAUGCGUCUCUUUUGGAGAACCUGUCACCUUGAAAGUCGUGCUGCCCAUACAGCAACCCCCCCCCCAGCAUGGGGAGGGGCCCUUCCCAAAGCCAGUGACCAAGAAAGAAUGCUUUUCUCGCUUGCUGAAGCCGAAGCCCUUCCCAGCCUGUGGGCUCUCACUCCCUCUGCCCCGGGUUCUGACGGCUUCUGGUGACCGGCAGCCCCGUCUGUCCCUUCACGCUCUCCCCGGUGGGACCGGGGGCCUCCACGGCCUGGGCCUGCUCGUCUCGGUCUGACCUCCGGAGGUCACCUCUCAGUCGCUCUCCUGAAACCACCUGCAGGUCUCCUGGCCUUGUGGCCUUGUGGGUGAUCUCAGGGCCCCCCAUUUCUGCUCCUCCCCAUGGACUGCUCCUGGGUCCUCUUCCAGAAAGCUCUCUGAGUCUCUGCAAGUGUUGGAGGCACUGUCUCAACCAGGACCCCCUUUCUCUCCUGCCUUCAGGGACUGUCCCCAGCUGCCAGCAUGCCCACUUUAUUUGCGCUCACACGGCCUCGAGCAGGUACCCCUGCCCUCUGGUCUCCAGAGAGUGACUGUUGGGAGCAAACGUUCUUGCCACGUCCUGGCUCCUUCCAACCCGUGCGUGUGCUGCCCAUCGCUUGGCCUUCUCCCUGGCCGUGCCGCGGCCCCCGCUCUGGAUCCCGGGCCGUUCUGCCUGCGUGAGGACCUCACCGCACCAGCGGGGCCCCACCUCCUGCCCCCGUCCGUCACCCCCCUGGCUCCCCAGUCCCAGCAGAUACAGGCUCCCAAGCCUUUACCUUCGCAGGGAGCUGCGCACGUGGGCCCUUGAGCUGUCUUUUCUGAACACCGCCCUCUCACAGCCAGAGAGGAGCCAGCACACUGGUGACGGCCUGCCCCCGCUCACUCCAACUCCUCAUCCCGCAGAAAGGCCCAUCACCCAGUCACUGAAAGUGCUCCCCAGCGGAUCACCCGAGGCCCGCCAGAUCCAAAUUUAGGAAUUCUCCACAUACACACCUUGACGCCUCAUUUAUUUCAUACCCUACGAAAACCAUCCUCCUUGCGAAGAGACGCCAAGGUCAGGUUGCCGUGGUAACGCUCACGUUCUUGGCCACCUGCCCGCCCGAACCAGAGGGAUGCCCCCAGAGCCCGGUCCAGAAUGUGAGUGGGAAGCAGUGGGAAGACACUGCUCCUGGGCACG
rnacentral:lncRNA from 1 species